rnacentral:rRNA from 1 species
GACGAACGCUGGCGGCGUGCUUAACACAUGCAAGUCGAACGGAAAGGCCCUGCUUUUGUGGGGUGCUCGAGUGGCGAACGGGUGAGUAACACGUGAGUAACCUGCCCUUUACUUUGGGAUAACUUCAGGAAACUGGGGCUAAUACCGGAUAGUAGCUCCUGCUGCAUGGUUGGGGUUGGAAAGUUUCGGCGUUUGGGGAUGGACUCGCGGCUUAUCAGCUUGUUGGUGGGGUAGUGGCUUACCAAGGCUUUGACGGGUAGCCGGCCUGAGAGGGUGACCGGCCACAUUGGGACUGAGAUACGGCCCAGACUCCUACGGGAGGCAGAAGUGGGGAAUAUUGCACAAUGGGCGGAAGCCUGAUGCAGCAACGCCGCGUGCGGGAUGACGGCCUUCGGGUUGUAAACCGCUUUCGCCUGUGACGAAGCGUGAGUGACGGUAAUGGGUAAAGAAGCACCGGCUAACUACGUG